rnacentral:lncRNA from 1 species
UCUUUUAGUAGCUCUCUACCAUCCGUGAAGCAAGAAGGGAAAGAAGUUAUGAUAAUUAGUGGUUUUGUUGGAAAUUUGAAGCACAAUGCUCUAUUGCUCUGGUACCACUGCUUUAGAGGAUGUUCAGUUUUUGGUGAACAGAUAGGAAUUGGCCAUGGAGAGGAUCGUACAAGUGAACAAGAUGGUGUGUAUGCAAUGUUGAACUUAAAUCUCGAGUUUACAUUAAUUCCAACGAUAUGUGCAAUAGCCAACUUAAAGACAAGAUAGUGUGUAUGCAUAUGUUGAUAGUAGAUACAGAAAUGCUAUGUACCCGUAAGGUAUCUAAAAGAUGUCUUAGAAAACAAGUACGUAGGGUACAUUCAAGUUUGAUAUGGUGUGGAUCACAUUGAGGCAUUUAAGCAUGGAGCUGAUUUU